UGUCGGUAGUCCAAUCCAAGGCUCAGCACUCAGGAAAAUAAAUCUAAAAGAUGAAGAAAGCAUUCCCAGUUUCACACUCGCACAACCUCCAGACCAGAGCCGCCUACACGGCCACACCACACCACACCACAGAGACCCACACUGCCAGAUGUCGUAACGGAGAUGGAGUGAUCUUGAGCACUCUCUAUCUCUCUUCUCCAAGUCUUGCCUUCCUCAUCUCUCUCUCUCUCUUCCGAGUUCAUUGUAGUAGAUAGAGUUACAAACGACCUGAGCUGAGAUUGAGACCUCACUCUCGCUGUCUCACGAUUGUUGCUCGCCUGAGUCCUAACCUCUCACAAUCACAGUCACAAUCUCACUCUCACACCCUUAUAUUAGAGCUCAGAGCCUCAAACUCGUCUCUCUAGCCUCUGGUCUCAGCGUCUUGCUCUCGCCUGAUCUGUCUCACACUCACAGUCUCAAUCUUAUACGGUCACACCCUUAGAGCUUAGACUCGUCUCUCGAGUCUUGCUGUCUCGCACAGUCACACCUUUGGUCUCACUCUCGCCUUUCUCUGUUUCUCAUCUCCAUUCUCUAGUUAACUAAUCAAGGCAUCAAGCCUUCAAAUUUGAAAUCUCACUCAAAUCUUAUAUUGUACUCUGUUUUUGAUUCGUCCUCCUCUCACAUCUCGCUCGCCAUUCUCAGCCUAGACCUAAAUUGCCUCCAGCUCCUCUUAGGUCCCAGCUCCAGCUCGUGCCUUUGCCUUUGCGUGAUUCUCAUUUUGCUCCAGCUUGUUUGAUUCUUAAUGUGCUCUGCUCUAUUUCCAAGUUCGAUUUCUAGCUUCUAUGUUCUAUCUAUGUAUUUAAGUUUGUAUAAUGAGUAAUAUGUAUAUUGUUUACACGAUUCGUCCAGCCAUUUAUCUGUGUAUGCUUGUUUGCUUUAUUUUUUAUUGCUCUGUUAUUUAUUGAUCUGGAAUUCUGGAUGUGAUCUAAUUAUUUUGAGUAUGAUCUAAUUCUUAGCUCUGCUCUCCUUUUCACAUUUUAUCUGUGCUUUCAAUUUAAAUUUAGAAAAUGUCAUCUGAACAAAUAUCUAGUACUGCAUCCACACAAUCUGUUAGAGCUAAGUCAGAUCCUAUAUAGGAGCAUUGUACUGAAAUACCAAAUGAAAAAAGUGGCAAACCUCGCUUAAGAUGCCUAUAUUGUGGAAAGGAAUUUGGUGGUGGUGGAAUACACAGAAUGAAACAACACCUUGCUGUGAAAAAAGGAGAUGCAAUUAAUUGUAAAAGUGUGCCACAUGAUGUUCGCUAUUGAUUGGAGGAAAACUUGAAAGAAAUUGAUCAAAAGAGACCAACUAAGAAAUUGAGAAAACAAUAAGAGGAUAAUCCAUUGGAAGUAGAUGAUGGAAUUGUGCAAGAAAUAAUUCCUCCAAGUUCUUCUCAAUCAGUCAAAAAAAAGGCAUCUACAGCUAGAGAUAAAUUCUUUGCCCCAAGGGCAACCUCUGGAGCACAACCAAGAAUUUGAAGUGCAUUUGCAGGUAAAGAAAUUCGGCAUAGAGUGGAUUUAGCUAUGGUUAGGUGGUUGUAUGAUUGUUGCAUUCCUAUGAAUGCUGUAAAUUCUGUUUACUAUCAGCUUGUGAUAGAUGCUAUUUCAACUAUUGGCCCUGGUUAUAAAGGACCAACUUACCAUGCCGUGAGAACUAAAUUACUGCAAGGCAUGAAAAAGGAGGUGCAAUUAUUGGUUGAUGAAUGUAGAAACUUUUGGACUGAGACUGGAUGUAUAAUAAUGGCUGAUAGUUGGCAAGAUCAAAGAAAUAGACAAUUGAUUAAUUUUCUUAUUUACUGCCCUAGAGGAAUGGUUUUUAUUAGAUCUGUUGAUGCAUCGGAUAUUGUUAAGCAUGCUCAAAAUCUUUGCAACUUAUUCAUGGAUAUGGUUGCUUUUGCUGGUGCAGAUAAUGUUAUCUACUUGGUAACUGAUAAUGCAGCUAAUUAUAAAGCUGCUGGAAGGUUGUUAUAUGAUAAGUUUCCUUCUAUUUUCUAGUCUCCUUGUGCUGCCCAUUGCUUAAAUUUGAUUUUAUCAGAUAUUGGCAAAAUGGAGAUUGUUAAUAGCUUAGCAACACGUGCAUCCAUGAUUUUGAAAUUCAUUUACAACCAUGUCUUUUUGCUAGCUUGGUUAAGGAAAAGAGAAGGCUGGACAGAAAUCAUUCACCCCGGAGCAACACGAUUUACCAUUACUUUUAUUGCCUUAAAAAGUAUCUAUGAGCACAAGCAUGAUAUUCAAGCUUUAAUAACAAGCAAGACAUUUGUAGAAUCUAGAUACUAUAAGGAUUCAAAGGUAAAGGAUGUGACAAUGAUUGUAUUGGACAAUCAAUUCUGAAAUAAUUGUAAAAUUAUUGUUGAAAUUGUAAAACCACUUGUAAAAUUGUUAAGAAUUGUUGAUUCUGAUGACCGGCCUUCACUUGGCUAUGUGUAUGAUGGCAUGUACCGAGCAAAAAGAGCUAUAAAGAAUACUUUCAGGCAUAAAAAAUCUUUGUAGAAGCCUUACACAAGUAUUAUUAAGAGAAGGUGGGAUUCUCAACUUCGACAAAAUCUUCAUGCAGCAGCAUAUCUCUUCAAUCCUGCUUUCCUUUAUGAUAAGAAAAAUUUUUCUAGAAAGCCAGAGGUUAUGCAAGGAUAUCUUAAUGUGAUAGAUAGAAAAAUUUCUUCUAAUAAAACCAAGUUUUUAUUAGAGGGCACACAAUACCAAGAAAGGUGUGGGAGCUUUAGUCAUCCAUUGGCUUUAGAAUCUGCAAAAACCAUGCGACCUGAUGAAUGGUGGAAACAUUUUAGGAGUAGCUAUCCAAAUGUUAAAGACUUGGCUGUUAAGAUAUUAGGCCAAACUGUAUCUUCCUCGAGCUGUGAAAGGAAUUGAAGUGUCUUUGAAAGAAUACACUCCAAGAAAAGGAAUAAGUUGGAUCAUGAAAGAUUGAAUGAUCUUGUUUAUAUUCAUUACAAUUUUCGAUUAAGGAAUAGGUAAAUUAGUCAAAAUUUUGAUUUCAUUUCUAGCUAUAAAAAAUAAGUUACAUGAAUCCUUAUACUUUGUUACUAUCAUGUGUUUUUAUUAGAGUUGCUAACAAGAAGAAAACUUUGGACCCUGUUGAUUAUGAAAGUAUUGAUAAGAUUGAGUAUUGGUUAAUGGAAGAAGAUGAUUAUUCUUUACUCAAUAUUGAUGAGAUAGAACGAGAUCUCAUUUAUGAUGACACAGUGCUACCAAAAGCUAUCAUUCAUCAAGAGGAUGAAGAAGAUAAUCAGCAAAGAGGCAACGUGACAGAUGGUGAAGUCAUUGGUGGACUUGAUUUACAAUUAUUUUUUCACAAGGAUGUUGAUAGCUUUAGUGAAGAUGUUGAUGCUUUUGAGCCUGCCUAUGCUUAGAUUAACCAAGAUCCCCUAAUAUUUGAUAAGCCAUGAAAAUUUAAACUUAUGAUGUUGUGAACUUUGCAAUGAUAUGUUUGAGAAAUAUUUUGAA